rnacentral:misc_RNA from 1 species
AAGUCGUAACAAGGUUUCCGUAGGUGAACCUGCGGAAGGAUCAUUAAAGAAGGCCGGCUUCGCGGCCAAGUUCUCACCCUUUGUAUACCGAAAUAAGUCUUUUUGGAAGGGCCCCCCCGGCAAUUUUCUUCGGGGGCCCCUUGCCAGAGGUUAUAAACCCUAGAAUCUCUGCUGUCUGAGUACUAUGGCAAUAGUUAAAA